CUGAGUGGCUAACCCUUUCUACCCCGGGUUUAAAGUACCAACAAAUCUUAUCUAAAAAAAAUUUCCACAUUAAGUCUCUGCACGUGGUUUUGUUUAGAAAUCGCGUAUAACCAAUAUUGACGUCAGUGAAAAUUCUAUGUAAUAAAUAUAACUAUUCUGGUCACUGGAUGAAUCAAGAAAGGUAUUAGUGCAUCCAAUAACUCCAGUUCUGUGCCUCAGUGUACGCGAUUGUAGUAGUGCAGAGUGUUGCAUACGUUGAUAAUGUUAAAUUUAAGAUUUGAAGGGAAUCGGAGGAGGCAUUCACAGAUGUUGCAAUAUUAAGGUGUCUCGUAGCACGAUUUUAACGCACUCAGCUCACACGUGGAGGUCUGUGGUUCGAUCCCCGGUACGGGUGGAAACAUUAGGAUGUGUUUUCUUAAGACACUUGCUGUCCAUGUUUACCUGUCAAUAAGUAGAUACCUGGGUGUUAGUCGACUGGUGUAGGUUGCAUCCUGGGGAUAAAAUUGACCUAAUUUGCGGGAAAUGCUCUGCAUAACAAGCGGCUUUCUAUAUAGUAGUAUGUCAUUAAUGUCAGCUAGGCCUGUUACCUGGUACAUGUACUUGUAGAAAUAAAGAUUAUUAUUAUUACAGUGCUCGAGUAUUGAAGUUUUGAAGCCGAUCGGACGAGGGAUUCUCGAGUUAUGAGCGAAAUAAAAUAGAAAACUUGGUGGCUAAAAACCUAAUACCAAUAAGCUUUAUCUCGACAAAAAUACAGUACGUAUAUAUAUUAUUAUAAUAAAAAAAGCGCUAAACCUACAAGUGUCAUACAGCGACAGUAUAUACUAUAUAUGAUAGAGGAAUAGUUGACAUUGGCAUAUUUUAUGGAGGGGUUAAAUACCCGAAAUUUCUGUUAUGAAACCACAGAACCCAACCAUCAUUCAUUGAAUACUUCCUCAUCUAUGUAAAUCUUUUUAGUAUUAAGUAGUCGUUUCCUAAUUUAGGCCAAUUCGAAAUAUUGUACAUCAAGUAGACUUUUCAGAAUCUUAUAUUGGUGUAUAACAAAAGUUUAAGAAUUUCGAAUGAGAGGGCGUGUGUGUGUGUUUGGUGGUCCACAACAGUUGUUGUGUCCUGGUCAUAAUGGCUGGUGUUAGUGGCCAGGGUCUACGGGAGAUAGAGCCAAGACAUCAGUAUGAACUUAAUAGAGAUGUCCUAUCCAAAGCUUAAUAUGUACACAAGAUAGUGGCAGUGCACUCUGACCCUGGCAGCUGCCAUGGAUGUGCAUGGAGAGGGUUGAUGUGGCCCCAUUGGAUUGAGAUGGCUGCAAAUUCAUGUGGAUGCAAAUUCUCAGCAGUUGAUGGUUGUACUGAGUGCUCAGCUGUUCUGUAAUACAUUUCUAGUGGCAGUGGGGAAGGUGAGGAGCUGUGUAUCAGCACUGGCUACCAAGAUUUGCAUGUAACUUGAUGCUUCCACAUUUACGAAGUGUAAAUGCAAAAGCACUCUUGUAAUCACGUUAAGGUUUAUUCUUAUUAUGCCUGAAAUGCUCUUGCUUUAUCAAUAGUUUUAUGUUAAGCUUCAAACUCCUGCCACUUAUUUUUUGUAAUGAGUGCAAGUCUUUAAGGAAAUAGAUUUGUUUUUUUAUGUUGUCACUUUAUAAGGUGUAUACUGUAUUUAAUUCUUGUGACCCCAAUGUAAAUAAGUCACUUGGACUUUUUGGGGAUUUUCCUAGAUAAUUUACACACACAUGUUACUAGGUAUGAUAAUUGUAGUUGUGUGUACAAGUACCUAAAUAAACCUCCUAACCUUUGAAGGGAUCCAGGUAUUAAGUACAGGGUACAGUAGCUUCAAGGAACUGAGAGCUACCGAUCAAUCAAACCCAACUGCUAUUCAUUUCCCAGCCAUUGUAUGAUUCCUCUGGAUUUAGAGACUUUUCCAAGAAUAUCGUAAUAAAAGUUCAAUAUGUAUAAAGCACUAAUUAAUAGUUUAUGGAUAUUGCAAUAUAUUAGUAUAUUUAAGGUGCUUCUCUAUGGGGAAGUGGAAAAUAAUUUUUUUUCCAUAAGCCAUGCAUGUCAUAAGAGGUGACUAAAAUGCCAGGAGCAAGGGGCCAGUAACCCCUUCUCCUGUAUAAAUUACUAAAUGUAAAAGGAAAAAAACUUUUGUUUUUCUUUUUAGACCCUGUCUCGGUGGGAUACAGCUGGUUCGUUGAAAAAAAAAAUGCCAAGUGAGAUUGUUUUUAUAUUCAGGUUUCAGUGCUCUACAAUCACUUGAGUUUUUUUUUAAUUCGUCAAAGAAAUUUGCCAAUUCAGGAAAGUCAUGUUACCCUACUUGCCAGUUGAAUGGUUAAUAAUAAUAAGAAUAAGAAUAAUAAUAAUUACAGCAUGUAUGAAUAGUUUCAGUAUUAAUAACAGAGUAAAAUUAAUAAUAAUUAUAAUAAAAAAUCUAUAGAACAAAUGAUAAUUUAUAUACUGUGCAGCAUAAUAUUGCCUGUGUAUAUUCUGUAUUUAUAUAUGUGUAAUUUAUUUCUGUAUACUCACAGCAAGUUAAGAAAACUUAUUUAAGAUGUGUUAAGAAUUACAAACAGUGUAGCGAAAAUCUUAAGGAAUACAUCAUUUGACAGUAAUACAACAUUUAGAUUUUAUAAAAUCUCUCUAAAACUACGUGUUUCAGUACCUCCAAGGAUAGUUUUGAACUGGAAAAACAAAAUUAUAAAUGCUUAAGUUAAAAAGAGCGACUAUAAGGUGACAGCAACUUGGUCUAACAGCGGCAUUCAAUUAAAUCUUUAUAUAAUCCAACUCCCUUCAAGGAGGGUGUCUUGAUGCCGGUAAUGGGCUCUUGAUGAUUGGAAUUAGAACUAGCCUAUAGGUAAACUUUGUGGGUAUAGUGUAUCACCAUGGAUAUAAUGAUAUUCAAAGUAACAGUUGCAGUAGUAGUAGUACAGUAAUUAUACAGGGUAGCAAUAGAAAUAAUGGUACUGAUAUAAUUAGAGUAACAGUAGUAAUAAAUCACAAUGGCAAUGACACUGAUAAUGACACCAUUAAUUUCUCAGAAUGGUAGGGGCACUGAUAAUGGCACCAUUAGUAAUAAAUCAAAAUAGUAGUGGCACUGAUAAUGACACCAUUAGUAAUAAAUCAGAAUAGUAGUGGCACUGAUAAUGACAUAGUAAGAUAGCUGUAAUACAAAAGUAUCUUCUUGGAUAAAAAUUAUGGUCAUGAUUAUUAUAACAGCUGUAGCACUGAGAGCAAAAUAUGAGGUGGUUAUUGUAACAGCUGUAGCAAUGAAACCCGUAGAUGUGGAUUAAUAAGAAAAAGGCGUAGGAACUAAAUGCAGUACAUUCGAGAACCAUAUUCCUAAGACACUUUGGACUAGAUUGUUUUUCUCCAUUACAGCACGGAGUUGAAAAACGAAGGUUCAGGUAAAAGCAUAGACUCUGAGUG